UACGUAGGUGGCAAGCGUUGUCCGGAAUCACUGGGCGUAAAGCGCGCGCAGGCGGCGAUCUACGUCUGGGGUGAAAGCCCGGAGCUCAACUCCGGGACUGCCUUGGAUACGGGAUCGCUUGAGAAUUGGAGAGGCAAGGGGAAUUCCACGUGUAGCGGUGAAAUGCGUAGAUAUGUGAGGAACACCUGUGGCGAAGGCGCCUUGCUGGCCAAUUUCUGACGCUGAGGCGCGAAAGCGUGGGGAGCAAACAGG
rnacentral:rRNA from 1 species